rnacentral:rRNA from 1 species
UACGAAGGGGGCUAGCGUUGCUCGGAAUCACUGGGCGUAAAGCGCACGUAGGCGGACUCUUAAGUCGGUGGUGAAAUCCUGGAGCUCAACUCCAGAACUGCCUUCGAUACUGAGAGUCUCGAGUCCGAGAGAGGUGAGUGGAACUGCGAGUGUAGAGGUGAAAUUCGUAGAUAUUCGCAAGAACACCAGUGGCGAAGGCGGACUCACUGGCUCGGUACUGACGCUGAGGUGCGAAAGCGAGGGGAGCAAACAGGG